rnacentral:piRNA from 1 species
UGGGAAUGAGUCUCCCUGCUUCUUGGCUC